rnacentral:lncRNA from 1 species
CAGCUUCAUACUUUGACUGUCUUCCACCACAUAAUGCUCUUGCAUCCUGUCAGCUUUGUUAAUCAUCUUCAUUUAGUGCAUAUCCUGAAUUAGAGCAGGAUUACAUGUAAACUGAAUCAUGAGUUGUUGAUUUUUGGUGAGAGAGUUAACAGAAACUGAAUUCUGAUCAAAUGAAGGCACAUAGAGAACAUCCUUGAGAAGAAAUAGAUGAGCAUCAGAUAUAUCCUAUGAUUUCAACUGGAAGUGUGAGCUUAUUUAGUAAAGUCAUUGUGUAAUUGUUUACCCUUAUUUUGUUAUGAAACAUAGAAAUUUCAAGACUAACAUGCUGUAGCACCAGAAUCUAUAAUCCAUUUGUAAGACUAUUUUCCAAAAUUAAUGGAUAUAGAAUAACACUUACAUGGAGUAGUUUCCUUAUGGGGCAAAUAUCAUAUUAACCUAACGAACUUUUCCCAUUUGUUUUAAAUGAUCACUAAAGUUUUUUUUUUUUCACUUUUAGGGAAUAAACUCUUUUUUUACCUGUUCAUUUGGUCCUGUUUCUUCCUUUCUAUUUCUUGGAGAGUGGAUAUCAUAUUUGACCGAUUCCAACACGGAACAUUUUCUCAACACUACUUCAUCGAUUUGGAUGAUUUUGAUUCUAGUUUUCUUUCUUGAGAUCAUGGACUUUAUUCUUAAUCAUCAUCAUAAUCUUGUCUCAUGUAUAUUAAAUCUAGAAAUAAACUGAUCAAUAUUCAAAUUCCAAUCCUAUUUAAACAAAUUUUCAUCUGUUUUUGGAAUGAAAAGAUGAAAAUUGGGUUACCUAGGAUGAUCAUUACGAACGAAGGACCAAUUAAGGAUGGCGACAGGACCAAUUUUCAUCUGUUUUUCUAUUCAUUAUUCAAUCCAUGAAAAUGGUAAAAGAAACACUGCUGUGUUGCCCUUGAAUUUCAAAGAAUUGAUGCACAAUCAAGAAAACGCAAAAGGAGCGAUUUCAACAGCCAAGAAUCAAGCUUAUUGCUACUAAAUAAGAUAUCUACAUAGAAACUUAAAUUUCAGUGGCUUUUUAAAAGCAACAUCUCAAAAAAUGAAGCAAAUCAAGAAUUGGACCAAAACACAUGUGUUACUCCAUCAAUUGUUCAACACCCACAUAAAGGAAUUUCAAAUAAUUCAAGCAAAUCGAGAAAUUGACCUAAAAUUUUAUAUUACUCCACUAAUUGUUCAAAAGCCACUUAAGGAAUGUACAUAUAAGUGGAGCAGAUGAACGACUACACCCAACCUAUUUAUUGUUUUUGUUUGGAAUUGUGCUACUGAUCUUAAGCUCUUUUUGUAUGCCCUUUUGCUUCUCUGCUCUCUCGGUACAAUGGCGAUGUCGUCACUUUCGCCGUCAUCGGUUUCUCUUCCAAAUCACUCCGACAUCGACUGUGGCCGAGGCGGACACUAGCGACGGGCUAUGUUGGAGUCAAAGAAAAAGAUGUGAAGUCGAGAGGAAGGGAACGCAUGCGACAUUGGGUGGUGGGGGGAUUUUAUGUUUUACCAAAAUUUAACCUAAAUGAUACAUGUCAUUUAUUUAAGCUAUGGGGCCCACAAACAACGGCUUACCGGUUUGUUUCUUCUAAAAUGAUGUUUUAAACACUUGAAAUUGGAC